rnacentral:lncRNA from 10 species
GUUACAUUCAUCCAGAUAUUUUCCAAGAUUGAAGAAACAAACGGCUGGGAAAGGAAUUAUCUAGAUUCCAGCACUAGAGAAAGCAGCAGCCCUAAAAGAUGUGUCAGGACAAGGAGCAAGGCCAUGUACAUUAGGGACUCUCACGUGCCCUCACCACUGCAGCAGCAUUUUAGUCCAGCUAAGCCCAUGGCCAGGCUGCAAGGCAGAAAUGUCAGUUUCAUUGCAGCAGCUCAGCUUCAGGCACAGAUCUCUAGAGGAUGUUUUAAGUGGACCUUUUUGUCUGGAAAAAGUGCCCUGGGAUGAUUUUUUUUUUUUUUUUUUUUGAUGAUUUACUUAGGUAGUUCCAGCAGUCUCUGCAGCUCUAGGAGGCAAUUAGUCAAAUGACGUCCCAAUCCUGCCACCAGCUAGUGUAUUUCAGUAGACAACUCUUUCUCAUCUAAUUCAGGUGGCAGUGGAGAAACUUCCCACUGUUUCUCCUUUGAACCCAGCUGGACACCACCCUGAAGUUCCAGUACAUGGAGAUAGCCAGUAAAUGAACAAUUGAUGACCUGUGUUGAAGAGAGAGGGCAUGUUGCCUAGGGUCCCCCUGCUUCUGGUAGGCAGCUGCAGAAGGUGAAGAUGCAGCACUGAGGAGGCAGGAGGAGGGCUGACCACCAGCUCCCGGCAUGUCCCCAGCACCAAGUGGCCCAGAGAGAGCCCAGGAUGCGCACGCAGGUGGAUGCUCCGCGUGCUGCCCUAGCGGGUGCCUCAGGACCCUUUGACAUUUCAGUACCAGAAAUCAAAUGUCGCUUCAGAAGCCCGGCCCUCCAAAGAUGUCACAAUCCAACCUCCCACACGCACAGGAGAACAGCGCGUUUGGAGGGAUGAAGUAACUCACCAAGGUCACGCAGUCCUGCAGAGCCAGGAUCCCAACCCAGGAAGUCCUCAGAGCCGGCCCUCGCCACCGACUCCCUGGAGAUAGGUCUGGAAACUUGAAUCUCUGGAAUAUGCAAAAUGCCCCCUUCACCACCAAGAAAGGACCAUCCUGGUCCCUGAUCCCCGGGGGCACAACACUGCUGUGUGACAGGGGCAUGACAGCUCCCAUGAAGGAGUCCAGAACCGAGACCUGUGGAGAGAACAUGAGAUGCCCAAGGUCACGAGACGCCAAGAGAUGUGGCCUGGUCCUCCCAGGGCCCAGUGCUGUGUUGAGAGACCUGUGACAAAUGGCUGUAAUUUUUAUAACUUCAUGAAGACUGGGUAAAGGCAGCAUCCUCGAUCUACGCAGUAGGGGACUGGUCCUCCCUCCAGCCCAUCGUGAACAUCGGCAUGAACACACACACACACACAUUCUCUCUCACACUCACACACACAUACGCACACAACACACGCUCACACACUCAAACACAUACACACACUCAGACACACAUGCACACUCACAUUCAUACGUGUACUCAUACAUACACACACUCACACACUCGUACACAUUCAUAUACACACACACACUCAAACACACAGUCUCACACAUGCACUAACACGUACACUCAAACAUCACAUACUCACAUUCACACACAUACUUGAACAUACACACACUCACAUUCAUACACCUACACAUACACACACACGCAUAUACACACUCAAACACAUGCACUCAUAUACACAGUCACACGCCACACAUACACACUCUCAUCCACACUCUCACAACCACUCACAGUCACUCAAGCACACACACACAUGCACACACACACACACACAGCUACCUUGGCAAGAACAAAUGCUACUGUGUGGUGAAGGAAAGAGAAUGACAUUUGCUUUCAGACUCAUCUGGAUUCCAAACCUGGGGAAGCCCUGGCCCAGGACUGUCAAGAAAGGUGUGGGCAACACAGAACCUGGGAGAAGGGGGCUCUGGUCUGCAUAGCUGUCACUCCAUGGGGGUGCAUUUACCCUGCACGUUUGCAACAGUUGCCCAUGUGCCUUCAGUGUUCCACUCUGGGAGGGGGCUGGCAAUGAACCGUAGGUCAGAUGUGGUAUGUUCCCUCACCACAGACUCAGAUAAUAACGUAAUCUUAGAAGUGGUGAGGGUUAUACAGAUAAAUGGAGAAAGCAUUGCAGGAACCUAGGCAAAGGAACAUUGCAGUGCAUUCCAGGGUGAGAUCAGCCAAAGCCCCAGAGAGGCUCUCACCAUUGAGCUGGACCCUGAAGGAUGAGUACAUGUCUUGCUAAAAGACAAGAAGGAGAAAACACAAGUAGAGAAGAACACAAAAAAGGCAUAAAAGUGUAAAAGUGCACGGAGUGAGUGAGUGCGCCUGUACCCAGACUUAAACUUUAGGAAGCUUACAUUGGCACAGUGUGGAGACAGAUUGGAAGAACACACACUGAAAGAAGGUAAAUGAGAUGAGGGGGCUGUUGAGAAAGGUUAAGCCCUGUUCCAAAGAAAUUAAAGGAUGAGCUUAAGAGUUAGUUACUUAUGAAGUAGACUCACAGUUCUUGGUGGCCAAUUGGCCAUAGCAUUGAGUGAAGGGAAGGAGUUGCAGAUUAAACUCUAUCAUCAUUGCCAUCACCAAUAUCACCAUCACCACCAUUAUCAUCAACCUUGUCAUCACCAUUAUUGUCAUCAUCAUCACCAUCAUCAUCAUCAUCAGUACUGUCAUUAUCAUCAUCACUGUUACCAUCAUUGUCAUCACCAUCAUCAUCACCAGUAUUGUCAUUGUCAUCAUCACUGUUACCAUCAUUGUCAUCACCAUCAUCAUCACCAUCAUUGUCAUCACCAUCAUCAUCAUCAUUGCCAUCAUCAUCACCAUCAUCAUCACCAUCAUUGUCAUCACCAUCAUCAUUAUCACCAUCAUCAUCAUUGCCAUCAUCAUCACCAUCAUCAUCACCAUCAUUGUCAUCACCAUCAUCAUCACCAUCAUCAUCAUUGCCAUCAUCAUCACCAUCAUAAUCAUCAUCGUCAUUCCUGUUAACAUUCACUGGAUUAUGAAUCAGGCACUUUUAGAGGGAUUGUUUUGGGAGGAAUUCUCAGAUCAAUAAGAGAUUCUGCAAGCCUUAAAAACCACCCAGUUUCUUAUCUAACAGUCUUUCCUAAACUUCCUUUCCUAGAUAAACUUUUUUCUGUUCCAGAACCAAGUGUGUUUCUGCUUGGUCUUCUUUAUGGUCCUCUUGAGGGGUACAGUUAUGUCAAUAAAUUUUGCAUCUCCCAGGCUGGAUACAACAGCCAACUGCCCAGUCAACUUCCCAGCUCUGGGGCCUGUUCCACGGCUGUGAUCCAACAAUUUGAGGGGCAGCUGGAUUCUAGGCACUUGCUACUUCUUUCUUAAUGCCUCCACGACAGUCCAAUGCUCCUACAAGCUCCAUGAGACAGAACUAUAUCUUUUUUAUUCACCGAUGUAUACUCAAAGUGGUAAGCACAUAGUGGACUUUCAGCAA